GAAAGCCUUGUGAAUCAACUGAAGACUUCAGUGGACUCUGCGGGAUUUGGGUGCCCGGAAGAGAUAGGGAAAGUGUUCUCCAUCAAGGAAGCAGCAUAUCUGCAAGCAUGGAGAUGUGACUGGCAAUAGAAGAGGAGAGUCAGUGGAUUCUAGAGGAAGAUGCCUGCUUCCCUUUCGCUUCUCUGCUAUGUUAUGACACAGCAAGAGGCCCUCAUCAGGAGCUAACCAGAUUUGGCCACCAGUCUUGGACUUCCCAACCUCCUGAACUGUGAGUCAAAGAAAACUUUUCUCUUUUCUUGACAAAUUACCCAGUCUCAAGUAUAUUCUGUUAUAGCAACAGAAAACCAAAUAUAUCAUAAUAAAUGUAAAUGAUCUAAACUUCCCAAGU
rnacentral:lncRNA from 1 species